rnacentral:rRNA from 1 species
CGAAGGGUGCAAGCGUUACUCGGAAUUACUGGGCGUAAAGCGUGCGUAGGUGGUUUGUUAAGUCUGUCGUGAAAUCCCCGGGCUCAACCUGGGAAUGGCGAUGGAUACUGGCAAGCUAGAGUGAGGUAGAGGAGAGUGGAAUUCCCGGUGUAGCAGUGAAAUGCGUAGAGAUCGGGAGGAACAUCAGUUGCGAAGGCGGCUCUCUGGACCAUCACUGACACUGAGGCACGAAAGCGUGGGAGCAAACAGGAUU